GACGAACGCUGGCGGCGUGCUUAACACAUGCAAGUCGAGCGGUAAGGCCCUUUCGGGGUACGACGAGCGGCGAACGGGUGAGUAACACGUGGGUGACCUGCCCUCAGCUCUGGGAGUAAGCCCGGGAAACCUGGGUCUAAUACCGGAUAUGACUUCAUGACGCAUGUUGUGGAGUGGAAAGCCUUGUGCGGCUGAGGAUGGGCCCGCGGCCUAUCAGCUUGUUGGU
rnacentral:rRNA from 1 species